rnacentral:lncRNA from 1 species
CCUCAUUCACCUUCCACCAUGAUUAUGAGGACUCCCCAGCCACGUGGAACGUCUGAAGGACCUGCCCAGGGGAAGAAGUAAACCACCUCUUACCUUUCCGACCAUCUCAGAACCACGAGGAAAUAGGAAGUGAGGCCUGGUAUGCAGAGGGACGACUCAAACAGGUGAUUAAGGAAUUAACCAGUCACUUGUUGGAGGAUAAUGCCUCAGUGAGCAAGAGGCAUCCCGAGUUCAUAGCAGACAAGGACGCCUGACAGCUCUGGUGGUCCCUGACAAGUCUGACACCCACGGAGAAGCCUGAGGGGACGAAGCUGGCCUGGGUGAUGGGCGCCAUGUUGGAUCCCAGGGAGGCAGGAAGGCACCAGGCAACGCCCCUGACUGGGAGUCAUCCCAGGCCAGCGUCUUCCUGUUUGCUCAGGAAGAAACAUUCAUUUUCUCUGGCCUCAGCCUCCUAAACUGAAAAAAAUAAUGUUGUUCCACUCUAAGAAUACUGCUGCGGGCUAAUUUAUUCAUGGCUGUGACACACAUAGCUUUCUUUAAAAUAAAGUCCCUGGUGUCAUUUUUAAUAGGGUCAUAAAUGCAACUCGAAGAAACUGUCUUUUUGCAUCUACCUGUGAUUGUUUCUUUGUAUCAGUCAGGGUAGUCUGGGUUAUUCUGUGGUAACAGGCAGUGCCCAAAUCUCACUGUUUUAAAACAAUGAAGGUUGUUGUAGGCUGAACUGUGUCUUCAGAUGUGGUCACAUUCUGAGGUGCAUAUGGAUUUUUGAGGGGACACAGUUUUUUAAGGGGACAUUGGUCAUUGAGGGAACACAGAUCUUUAAGAGGUAAUUAAAUUCAAAUGAGGUCAUUAGGGUGGGCUUUUAUCCAAUAUGACUGGUGUUCUUAGAGGAGAAAAUGUGGACACAGACACAGAGGGAAGACGAUAUGAAGAUAAAAGGAGACAGUGCCCAUCUGUAAGUCAAGGAGAGAGGCCUGGAAUGGAUCCUUCCCUCAUAGCCCUAAGAAGGAACCAAUGCUAUGGACACUUUGACCUCAGACUUCUAACUUCUACAACUGCCGAGACAAGCAAUUUCUGUUGCUUAAGCCACCCAAUCUGUGGUACUUAGUUACAGCAGCCCUAGCAAACCAGUUGGC